rnacentral:rRNA from 1 species
CCAGACUCCUACGGGAGGCAGCAGUGGGGGAUAUUGCACAAUGGGGGGAACCCUGAUGCAGCGACGCCGCGUGGGUGAAGAAGCGCCUCGGCGCGUAAAGCCCUGUCAGCAGGGAAGAAAAUGACGGUACCUGAAGAAGAAGCCCCGGCUAACUACGUGCCAGCAGCCGCGGUAAUACGUAGGGGGCAAGCGUUAUCCGGAUUUACUGGGUGUAAAGGGGGCGCAGACGGCUGUGCAAGUCUGAAGUGAAAGCCCAGGGCUCAACCCUGGGACUGCUUUGGAAACUGUGGAGCUAGAGUGCUGGAGAGGUAGGUGGAAUUCCUAGUGUAGCGGUGAAAUGCGUAGAUAUUAGGAGGAACACCAGUGGCGAAGGCGGCUUACUGGACGGCAACUGACGUUGAGGCCCGAAAGCGUGGGGAGCAAACAGGAUUAGAUACCCCCGUA